UUUAUGGUUGUUUGUGUUCGAUCGACAUGGUUAGGCUUAGGAUUGGAGUUUGUGGUAGUUAGGAAUGUUGUAGAGGAGGUUGAGAGGAAGAUGCUGCCAAUUUUUGGUGAGCAUAGGAGGUCGCCGGAAAACGGCUGCCGGCCGCCGCCGGUUAGGAGUAUUUUUAGGGUUUUAAAUGUGGAAUAUUAAGAGGAGUAUAUUGGUGUGAUUUAUGGAAUUUUUGGAUGAGUUUUGGAUAGGUUUGUGAAUUUCCGAAGUUUGGUAUUUUUGGCGGUUAAUUAAUGUAGAAUCCGGCCGUAGGAUUUAAGUCGUAUGUUGGGGAGGUUGUAUUUACGACUGUUGAGUAUGAUAUUUAAGUUCGGAUCGUUCCGAUGUAAGAAUAUCGAAGUUAGGCAAUGAUGAGCGUAAUUAUGGCUCUCGGGUAAUUUUGCCUAUUUUGAUUAAAUAUUGGAUUAUUUGGUUGGGAAUUAAUAUUAUAUUUGGAACAGGUCGUGAGGAGGCUCGAGCAGACGAGACCCCAUAUCGACAUCAGGCUUAGGCCUAAUUUGUGAGUGGACUUUUAUUUUUAUUUGAAAUAAUAUGCAUGCACUACCAGGACAAGCACUUUAGCCGACGAAAAAUUUUCGUCGGCCUGUUAUCUUAAUUCGUCGGCUAAGAUCUUAGCCGACGAAGGCUCGUCGGCUAUAGUGUCGUCGGGAAAAGCUCGUCUGUGAUGACUUUAGCCGACGAAAUUUUUUUUUCGUCGGCUAUAGUCCCACAGUUAGCCGACGAAAAACAUGUCGUCGGUUUUUUUCAGACUUUAGCCGACGAAACAAUUAAUAUAUUCGUCGGCUAAAGUGUGUAAUAAAUAAUUAAAAAAUAACUAUAGCCGACGAAAUAUUUUAUAUUUCGUCGGCUAAACCUUAUAAAAAAUUUAAAAAAAUAACUAUAGCCGACGAAUUAUGGCAUAAUUCGUCGGCUAAACCUUAUAAAAAAAAUUUAAAAAUACUAUAGCCGAUGAAUAUAGUGUUUAAAUAUCGUCGGCUAAAGUUUCUGGGUUUUGAAAAAAAAACUAGCAGAAACUUUCGGCCACCUCCAAUCACGACCAAAAUUUGACAGAAUCUUCCUCUCAACAUUUCGAACAACUUUGUAGAAGAAGUCGAAGCUCAAUUCUAAGCCUAAACAGGUCAAUCGACUGAAAAUAUAAAAAUCCCCAAUUUUAAACCCUAAAAACUUCAAAUCUUCGAUUCUCUUCACACACACCGAAUCGAGCUACCAAAUUCUAGGGGAAUGUAGUACUAAUCAAACUCAACUUAUCCAUAUAUAGAACUCACCAAAUGGUGACCUAAGGAAUGAGAAAUUGGAUCGACACCGAAUCCGAACCGGCGGAGUUUUGGAGCUCGAUUUAUCCCUCACGGCGGCGCCACUCGAUGCACCACCUAUCCAGCAAUGAAGUAGAGACGACGGCGAAGCUUUUGGGACAAGUGUGACGAUCUCCGGUGGCUUGACGGCGGAGCUAGGCCGAGAAGAAAAUCUGGCAGAUAAUAGACUUCUUACCAUCCAUCUUCGCCUAUAUAAAGAACUUUAGCCGACGAAAUUCUUUAUUUUCGUCGGCUAAACUCUUUUGAAAAUUUUGGUUGACCGCCAAAAAAAUUUUGGUUGAAAAUUUUGAAAAUUUUUCGACUUUAGCCGACGACUUUUCAUAUAUUUUCGUCGGCUAAAGUCCUUUGAAAAUUUUCCUCCAACUUUGGUUUACCGCUUAAAAAAUUUU
rnacentral:lncRNA from 1 species